AAAUUGAAGAGUUUGAUCAUGGCUCAGAUUGAACGCUGGCGGCAGGCCUAACACAUGCAAGUCGAGCGGUAGCACAGAGAGCUUGCUCUCGGGUGACGAGCGGCGGACGGGUGAGUAAUGUCUGGGAAACUGCCUGAUGGAGGGGGAUAACUACUGGAAACGGUAGCUAAUACCGCAUAAYGUCGCAAGACCAAAGUGGGGGACCUUCGGGCCUCAUGCCAUCAGAUGUGCCCAGAUGGGAUUAGCUAGUAGGUGGGGUAACGGCUCACCUAGGCGACGAUCCCUAGCUGGUCUGAGAGGAUGACCAGCCACACUGGAACUGAGACACGGUCCAGACUCCUACGGGAGGCAGCAGUGGGGACUAUUGCACAAUGGGCGCAAGCCUGAUGCAGCCAUGCCGCGUGUGUGAAGAAGGCCUUCGGGUUGUAAAGCACUUUCAGCGGGGAGGAAGGCG
rnacentral:rRNA from 1 species